GACGUAGGGCGCGAGCGUUGUCCGGAUUUACUGGGCGUAAAGGGCGCGUAGGCGGCCUGUGCAAGUCAGUUGUGAAAUCUCCGGGCUUAACUCGGAACGGUCAACUGAUACUGCUCGGCUAGAGUGCGGAAGGGGCAACUGGAAUUCUUGGUGUAGCGGUGAAAUGCGUAGAUAUCGAGAGGAACACCUGCGGCGAAGGCGGGUUGCUGGGCUGACACUGACGCUGAGGCGCGAAAGCCAGGGGAGCGAACGGG
rnacentral:rRNA from 1 species